AGAGAUAACUCGGGAAACUCGAGCUAAUACUUUAUACGCCUUCGGGGAAAGCUUUAUGCGCUAUUGGAUGGGCCCGCGUUAGAUUAGUUUGUUGGUGAGGUAACGGCUCACCAAGGCUACGAUCUAUAGCUGGUCUGAGAGGAUGAUCAGCCACACUGGGACUGAGACACGGCCCAGACUCCUACGGGAGGCAGCAGUGGGGAAUAUUGGACAAUGGGGGCAACCCUGAUCCANNGAUGCCGCGUGAGUGAUGAAGGCCCUAGGGUNGUAAAGCUCUUUUGUCAGGGAANAUAAUGA
rnacentral:rRNA from 1 species